rnacentral:tRNA from 1 species
GGGCGGUUAGCUCAGCUGGUAGAGCGUCUGCUUUACACGCAGAAGGUCGGAGGUUCGAGACCUUCACCGCCCACCA